UACGUAGGGUGCAAGCGUUAAUCGGAAUUACUGGGCGUAAAGCGUGCGCAGGCGGCUUUGCAAGACAGAUGUGAAAUCCCCGGGCUCAACCUGGGAACUGCAUUUGUGACUGCAUCGCUAGAGUACGGCAGAGGGGGAUGGAAUUCCGCGUGUAGCAGUGAAAUGCGUAGAUAUGCGGAGGAACACCGAUGGCGAAGGCAAUCCCCCUGGGCCUGUACUGACGCUCAUGCACGAAAGCGUGGGGAGCAAACAGG
rnacentral:rRNA from 1 species